UACGUAGGGUGCGAGCGUUAAUCGGAAUUACUGGGCGUAAAGGGCGCGUAGGCGGCCUUCUAAGUCAGACGUGAAAUCCCCGGGCUCAACCCGGGAACUGCGUCUGAUACUGGGGGGCUUGAAUCCGGGAGAGGGAUGUGGAAUUCCAGGUGUAGCGGUGAAAUGCGUAGAUAUCUGGAGGAACACCGGUGGCGAAGGCGGCAUCCUGGACCGGCAUUGACGCUGAGGCGCGAAAGCUAGGGGAGCAAACGGG
rnacentral:rRNA from 1 species